AGCAAGAUUCCGUAUCAGAAACAAACAAACAGAAAAACCAACAACAAAAAAAACCAAAAAACAAAAAUAACACAUGCUUAUCCUUACUAUAAACAGGAAAACCAUCCAAAGAUGUAUACAGAGAAAGUAAUCGCCAUUCCCACCCCAACUCCCAGGUGAUUCUAAACACUGCUGCCAGGAUGAUAUUUCUAAAACAGCUAACUGUUUUUGAGUGGUAUUCACUUCCCUGCUCAAAUUGUUUCAGCUGUCACCACAGCAUAACAUCUGAAAUCCUUAGCAUGGAACAAUACUCACUCAACCCCAUUUAUUGUGGAAUCCUGAACCAUUGGCCAUUCUCUGAAAGAGAUUCUCCCACUCCUAAGUCUUUGUUCCUGCUAAUUUAUUUUGUACUCUGAUCACAUGUUGAAAUCCUACUUAUUCUAUACAUUUUAGUUUAAAUAUUUCCUCUUCCCACUGACACUGUUAGUGAGAAUCAGUGGUUACCUUUUGUCAUUCCUACAAUUUUUGUUAAUAUCCCACUUUGGGCACUUUUCAUGUUUUGCAUUAUAAUUUUUUUGUUCAUGUCUGCCUUCCCCACCAGCCUUCAAUCUUCUUGAGAUUGUGGGCCAUGGACCAUGUCUUAAUUAUGUUUAUGUAAGUAGCACAAUGCCUUAUCCAGAGUAAGCACUGUGAUGAAUAUUUAAUUUAAUUCACUUCUUAACAUCUGGCACUAGGUCAUUUUGAAAUAAUGACUAUCAAUUUUUUUACACUUCCUGUUAAAUGUAGGCUUUCAGUGUUUUUGCAGGAGCAAUUGUGUGUGAAAUAUUACACACACACAUAUACAUGCCUAUGCAAAAUGAACAUGGUAUGAAUAUAGCAGAUAAUCAGCUCAAGAUAGAAUUGCAAAUUAGCUCAAACCAGAUCAUGCAGAAAAUCUGGAUAUAUGGAAUGAAAAGUAUUGCACAAAUGUGUUGCAUAAGUAAUUUAUUGUCUUCUGGCUGCUAAUUUAUAGGUGUAACCUCACAUACUAUCUUUUGAUCGCCAUUAAGGGACUGUUUUGCACCAAUAGACUGAGAGCAAACAUUUUAAUACAACAUAUUCAGUCUAAUUAAGCUGGAUAAUUACUGCUGGAGAAGAGCUAUGGUAGCAACAGCAUGUAAAUAAAUUUUUGCAAGUAUAGAAGGGAAACCUAACAUUUCAUAUUCAUGUAGAUUACCUCUUUUCAAAUACAAGAAGACAAAUGUUAUUCUAGCCCGUUUUGGCAGUAUUCAUCUCCGUAAAUACUAUUACUUUUCUCUGUCCCGUAUGUUCAACCCUUCAACAUUUUUCUGGUUAUGAACCAUUUCACAUAUCGUAUGCUUAUUGGAUCUUUUACACACAUUGAAAAAUUCAGGUAAGCUAAGAUUCUUGCUGUAAACUUUACCCAUGUGUAGACUUCACUUUGUAACCCAGAAGAAAGAGUGGUAAUUGGGUCACCAUUUCCAUGGGAAAAGUAGAAGUACUAACGCCAUACUUUCACCUCUCCCUGGGUAAUAUUUACCCUAAAACCCUGCACAUUAUAUGGUUCAGUGAAGUUAAGCAAUUUGCCCAGAAAUACAUAGGCAGAUCGAGAACUCAGCUCUUCUGACUUCUAUCCUGUGAGUUGUAGUUGUUUACUUAUUGAUUUAUCCAUCAAUUAUUUUUAAGCAUAUAUUAUGUGCAAGGAAAUAUGCUAGUUGGGGAGAGCAAAUUGACUCUACUCUUUCAAUGUGAUAGGGAAAAUAAACCAUUUAUAUAAAUAUUAUUCCCUAAGAAAAUUAAUGUUAUAAGAGUAUGGAAAUUUUAAAAAGUACUUUAUUAUUUCCACAAAUAAGUUACAGAGAAGCAAAAAUUUGAUCAGAUAACUCAUUUAUUAUUUCACCAGAUUAACCACACCAAUGGGAAGUCUAGCUGUUUGGACCACAAAAGCCACAACAUAGCACCACUAUGUACUUAAUGGAAGGUGAACCAACUUGCAAAACAAAUAACAUCCAAAGGUCUAAACUGCAAAUUCAAACUAGAAUAAGUUAUAAUAAAUGUCUCAAAUAUCCAGGGUAACAAAACAUUAUCCUUAUAAAAUGUGGAAAAACUAUUAUUUCUUUCUCUCACCAAAAUAAGGCUUAAUGUUGUUUAAGGUAUCCUUGAUUGCUUUUAUGCCUUGUAUUUAAAAAUGAAGGAGAUGGGCAUUGGACUAAACUUGGGAAGAAGGAUGUUACAUUAAUAAUAAUUUCAUGGCCGGGCACAGUGGCUCAUGCCUGUAAUUCCAGCACUUUGGGAGGCUGAGGCAGGCCGAUCACAAGGUCAGCAGUUCAAGACCAGCCUGGCCAACAUAGUGAAAUCCAGUCUCUACUAAAAAUACAAAAAAUUAGCUGGGCGUGGCGGUGGGCGCCUGUAAUCCCAGCUACUCAGGAGGUUGAAGCAGGAGAAUGGCUUGAACCCGGAAGGCAGAGGUUGCAGUGAGCGGAGAUUGUGCCACUGUGUUCCAGCUUGGGCGACAGUGCGAGACUCUGUCUCAAAAAGUAAAAAUAAUAAUUUCAUAUGCAAGAAAAGUCAUUUUACGAAAAGCUGAAGGUAGACCUUUCCCAUAAAUAAAAUGAUUUUGUAAAACAA